ACCCGCCUCACGUCCUGUGACAGACUGGCGUCCCGUCCAGGGUCAACCCACCUCACGUCCUGUGACAGACCGGCGUCCCGUCCAGGGUCAACCCGCGUCACGCCUUGUGACAGACCGGCAUCCCAUCCAGGGUCAACCCGCCUCACAUCCUGUGACAGACUGGCGUCCUGUCCAGGGUGAACCCGCCUCACACCCUGUGAC